GUUUGUGGAUCGAUAAAUGCACGCAGCUGCUAGUGGUUGUUGCGAUAACUCAGCUGGAUACGAUAAAUUGUGUGUGUUAGUCAUUCAUAGAAUACUUAUAUCGUGUAAUUUAGCUUCGUUUUAAAAUUCAUAUAAAUAUCAUACUUUGAAAUGAGUGGUAUUAUAAAAUUAAUUAAAGAGAAAUGAGUCAAAAUGAAGCUCUAUUUUUUCUGCGUAACAUAUCAAAUUUUAAUGAUACGCCAUAAGUGAUCAGUAUCGAAUUCAGGGCAAGGAAAAGUUUAGAAAUUUUCGUGUGUUUUAAAACCAACUAGUUGUUUAAUUCAUCAAUGAAAACUUAAUCCUUUGCGGUAAAACAAUGCCUUGAUUUAAAUAAAUAUUCGUAAUAUAUAACCGGUAGUCGAAAAUAGUAAUAAAUCACGAACAAUGACGGUGAUAAUAUAGCGGAGUUAUGAUUAAAUAAAUCAGGAUGAUUUGUAGUUAAAGUCGAUUUUUUAUCUUUCGACACUGAAGUGCAAAACGAUAAAUAAAAAAUAGCAACAUAAUUAAAUAAACUAUGUUUAACAUAUCAGUGAUGAAAUUAUCUUCUAUAGGAACAUGUAAGAUAUUGCAGUCUUCAAAAGUUAUAACUUUUAUGAUAUUCACAGUUUUCUAUAUUUGUUGGAUAUUACCGUGGGAAGUUGCCGGAGAACAUGGAAAGCAAUAUAAACUUGGCGUCAUUUGCAAAAAUCAUUUCUUACGAGAUUUGUACCGAAAAAUCGAUGGUGCUGUACUAACAUCGCAAAAUGAACACAAUUUGAAUUGUGCGAUAACAUUUCAGACCCACAGUAUUCUUCAACGAUUCAUGUUAAGGUUUGACAAACUUCAACUCGAUUGCAACGACCAUCUAUUUAUAUACGAUGGCGCCCAUGCUGUCAGCAAUUUUAAGGCGGAUCUGUCGUGUAGGAACACGCAUAUAAGCGUCGGUGCUAUUUAUACGCGCACAAAUUUCGUUACAUUAAAAUAUGUUACCGAUGCUUGGGGUACAGAUACGAAUGGUUUUCGACUAGUCAUCACAGCAGUAAAAGAUCCAAAGCACACCUGUAAGGAUUUUAGAUGCUCUAUGAAUGAAUUUUGUAUUGACGAGGAUCUUGUUUGUGAUGGUGUUAAUCACUGCGGUGAUGAAUCUGAUGAAGCUCCUUCAGCGCUCUGUACCGAUACAAAAACUGCGACGAUCCUUGGAAUCGAACAAACGUGGUUCGCAGCUGUUUUUGUUAUCGUCAUAAUCAUCAUAUUGAGUAUUAUCAGUGGAGUAACAUUUUACUAUUGUCGGAAACGAACUGAUGUACCGAGACAUCUACAUAAUACACUCACCGUAAGAGCUCAUACUCCAGUUAACUUCCCAUUGCAACAGAUGUACGGAUCAAACGGGGUAAACAAUGGAGUGCCGGUGAAUAUGACGGAAAUAAAGGAGCCAAUAAAAAUUCUCGAUCCCAUGAUCAACUUCAACCAUGUAGGAACGGGAAUCGGAUUAACGGGUGUAACGACUCUACCACGGUCGGGAAACUGGCUACACCCUGCAGGCCUCAUGCUCGGGCGCAGCGAAGUUCGGGUUCGUCUCUAUUGCCAGGCAAAGUAAAAAUUCACGGAUCAGACAGUGACAUUUCAUCUAGCCAACGAGAAGAAUGGUUCGUGUAACUAAGAGACAGAUCCUACCUAAGCUUGCAGGGUGGACGAAGGAACGGAUGUGCCCUCACCGUCCUUUUGGAUAAUCGAUACAAGUUCUACUUAAGAUGCUGAAGAACGAUUGUUGGUAAUCAUCAGCGCCAUUGACGUAGAAAUAGAUCAUUAUAAUCCACAAAAUGAAUACUAGUUUCUCUGAAUGGAAAAUUUGACUGUUUUACUUACAAUAAUUAUCUAGUGUGAUAAAUAUAUUAAUCGAUAAUGCAUCAAUUUUCACCAAACAUACUAUAGCAAACAUAAUUCGUUACAUCAUAUAUAAAUAUAUACAUACACAGGCUGUGCCAAAAGUACCAGCCCAAACUUUAAAGGUAGGUUGAGAAAAAAAUCCAAGACAAAAUGUUCUUUACAAAUUUAUCUCUAAGUGAGCAAGUAAUCAGCCAUUAAUCGGUAAAAUUAACCAAUCAGGAGGAAGCUUUACCAAGAAUGAGUAGAGUAGGGAAAGAGGCUACCAAUAAGCAUCAACGGAGCGCACUUAGCUGUGAUUCAGUGGUUCUCGCAAUGAUUAAUGCAAUUAAUCUCCUCUACUCUACAAUCUCUUGCUAAAGAACGCUUCUGAUUGGCUAAUUGUAUCAUUUAAUAAUUAAUAACCUGUUUGUCUGGUGAAAAAAUGGUAAAAGACGUUUUGUCCUGAAAUUUCAUUUUCUAUUUACUUCUAAUGUUUGGGCUAGUACUUUUGACAUACAUUGUAUACAUAUAUAUGUACCUAUUUUAGUGCAUUUUUUUACAAAUAUGUUUUUUUUCUCAGUCUAUAUAAAAGUUUAUUUGUCGACAAUGCAGAAAAACAUUUUCCCCCAAUUUGGGCUCUUGAUUUAAAUUUUAAAAGGUCGAAAUUUAUAUCUAAAGUUUUCCUGCUUCAAAAACAUUAUAACAACGUUACUUUUUUAUUAAAAAUAUUUCUACUCAGCCGUGAUUUUAAUUAUCAACUUGUUAUAGGGCUCAGUCUUUAAGCUUCUCUUCGGAAUUGUCCUAAGCAGCUGCAUUUUUAACGGUUUCAGAUUAUGAGAUAUCUGACAUUAAAACAUGAUUAUGAGUCGUUACUAUUUAAACUAUCGACUUACGAAUAAAUAUCUUUAAGACUUUACUAGAAAUACUUACAAUUUAAUACAUAUCUAAGUUUUAUAUGUUAUAACAAAUACAAGACUGCUUUAGUGAGCAUUAAAUUUCUAUUAUCGAUUCAUAAUCUUCUAUAUAAUAAAUAUAAGAUAAAAUUUACACUUUUUCAGCUAAAUUUUAUAGUAUUUAUAUAUUACAUAUCCAAUGGCUAUUAAAUAAAAAAAAAUAUAGAAGUUGCGACCCGUCGACUAUCGGCACUUUAAUCAAUGCAUUAAAUCGAAAAACUUCAUCAACAUAUCACCCUACAUUAAUAUAACUGACAAAUUAAACAAAAGACCAAGUACAAAAAAUCAUAAAAUUUCCAUCAAAACGUUUUGUUCACGACCAUCCUAUAAAUUUAACACAUCCUUUGUCCCCACCGUACCGACAGUCAUCUCUUAUGUGCACAGGUCUGCGCAGUAGUAUGCGUAAUGUUCGAAAAUCUAUUAGAUUAUCACCUAAAUUUAAGUUUUAAACGCUCAUUAUCUAAGUUAGGAUUUAUGUGUACAUGAUAUUAAAGGUGCACUUAGAGAAUUUUGAAUUUUCUACGACUGAGAUUUUUUCUAUUGGCCCCGCGGAAAAUUGUAGUGGGGGAAAGACUUUUAGCUCUAUAAAGAAAAUCUUGUUAAGUUUAGAGAGGCAGAAAUUUUAUGGAGAUUCUAGAGAAUUUGAUUUGUGACGAAUUGUGCUAAAAUUGGAUAGUGGUUAAAAUCUCCAAGAAAAAGCGUUUGAAAAAAUAAACAAAGCAGUUGGAAUUAUUGAAAAGUCUUAUAUAUUUCUCAUAAAGUAUUGAGUGCAGUGCAAAAUUUUUGCUCUUAAUUUUUUCAUUGAAAUCGAUAGCUUAAAUUUUAAUAAGCAACAACCAAAAUUUUUUACAAGCUCAGGACAAGUUGAUUUUUCAAAAAAGUAUGGCAGAGUAGGUAUUUUUUUGUAAAACGUGCUGUUCUAAUGUUUUUCAAAUGGAAAAACUUAACAAAUAAAUCGCGACCUUUUGAAAUUAAAAUUAAGCGCCUAAAUUUGAAAAGAAAUUUUCUUUAUUAUCUGCAGCGAAAUAUUCAUAUAGAUUCAAAAUUCGCAAGACGUAAGCAUCCUUAAUAUAUAUAUUUCUAUAUAUAUAUAAAGUGAUGAUUAAGUAUUGGAAUAUGAACAGUUGAGUGCAUCUAAUCGUCCAUAUGACUAUAAACGAUUGCAUUUUUAUCGACUAUUUUUGACUAUAUCUUCAUAAAAGAAACAAACAUAUUAACAGAUAAUUUUUAUGAGUGUAAGACAGAAAAUAUACACCUUAAUCAUACGGACUUGAAAUUUAAAAUAAAGUUUAAAGAGUAUUUUAUACUUGUUUACUAAACAUUCCGAUGUAUCCAAAUAUUGUUAAAUUAAAAUUAUACAUUGUCAAAUAAAACCUUACUAGAAUACGUAUGCAAUGAUACAUUGAUUUU